rnacentral:rRNA from 1 species
UGGGGAAUUUUGGACAAUGGGGGAAACCCUGAUUCAGCCAUCCCGCGUGUGCGAUGAAGGCCUUCGGGUUGUAAAGCACUUUUGGCAGGAAAGAAACGUCAUGGGUUAAUACCCCGUGAAACUGACGGUACCUGCAGAAUAAGCACCGGCUAACUACGUGCCAGCAGCCGCGGUAAAACGUAGGGUGCAAGCGUUAAUCGGAAUUACUGGGCGUAAAGCGUGCGCAGGCGGUUCGGAAAGAAAGAUGUGAAAUCCCAGAGCUCAACUUGGGAACUGCAUUUUUAACUACCGGGCUAGAGUGUGUCAGAGGGAGGUGGAAUUCCGCGUGUAGCAGUGAAAUGCGUAGAUAUGCGGAGGAACACCGAUGGCGAAGGCAGCCUCCUGGGAUAACACUGACGCUCAUGCACGAAAGAGUGGGGAGCAAACAGG